AUGAACAACAAAGGGAAAUUAGCACAAUGUAAAGUGGUGGUGGUGGUGGAUCUCCUCACAUGGGAAUUGGGACCACUCAUCAUAUAUGGGGCUAGCGGUGAAGUCACUCUCACUCUCAAUAUUGUGUCACAAGUCACUAAACUCAUCACCGUACGUCGCCGUGGUCGAAGGGAAAAUCCCAUGCUCAACCAUCUUGUAGUCAUUGCUAUGGAUGAAGGCCGAAGAUGGCACAUCAUCACUUCUGCCAUGGAUGAAGGCCGAAAGAUGGCACCUCAUCACUCUCACCUCCAAAGAUGGAAGCAUCAUCCUUGCUCGUCACCGUGUCGCUCUCCUCCAAAUCUUGGUCCUUGA
rnacentral:rRNA from 1 species